rnacentral:rRNA from 1 species
AGAGCGAACGCUGGCGGCAGGCCUAACACAUGCAAGUCGAGCGCCCGUAGCAAUACGGGAGCGGCAGACGGGAUAGUAACACGUGGGAACGCGCCCUUCGGUUCGGAAUAACUCAGGGAAACUUGAGCUAAUACCGGAUACGCCCUUACGGGGAAAGAUUUAUUGCCGAAGGAGCGGCCCGCGUCCGAUUAGCUAGUUGGUGAGGUAAUGGCUCACCAAGGCGACGAUCGGUAGCUGGUCUGAGAGGAUGACCAGCAUCACUGGGACUGAGACACGGCCCAGACUCCUACGGGAGGCAGCAGUGGGGAAUAUUGGACAAUGGGCGCAAGCCUGAUCCAGCCAUGCCGCGUGGAUGAUGAAGGCCUUAGGGUUGUAAAGUCCUUUUAACGGGGAAGAUAAUGACGGUACCCGUAGAAUAAGCCCCGGCUAACUUCGCGCCAGCAGCCGC